UACGUAGGGUGCGAGCGUUAAUCGGAAUUACUGGGCGUAAAGCGUGCGUAGGCGGUUCGCUGUGUCCGAUGUGAAAGCCCCGGGCUUAACCUGGGAAUGGCAUUGGAAACUGGCGGGCUUGAGUGCGGCAGAGGGGGGUGGAAUUCCACGUGUAGCAGUGAAAUGCGUAGAGAUGUGGAGGAAUACCGAUGGCGAAGGCAGCCUCCUGGGCCAACACUGACGCUCAUGCACGAAAGCGUGGGGAGCAAACAGG
rnacentral:rRNA from 1 species